AACGAACGCUGGCGGCAUGCCUAACACAUGCAAGUCGAACGAGACCUUCGGGUCUAGUGGCGCACGGGUGCGUAACGCGUGGGAACUUGCCCUUAGGUUCGGAAUAACUCCCCGAAGGGGGUGCUAAUACCGGUUAAUGUCUUCGGACCAAAGAUUUUUCGCCUUUGGAUGGGCCCGUGUUGGAUUAGCUAGUUGGUAGGGUAAAAGCCUACCAAGGCGACGAUCCAUAGCUGGUCUGAGAGCAUGAUCAGCCACACUGGGACUGAGACACGGCCCAGACUCCUACGGAAGGCAGCAGUGGGGAAUAUUGGACAAUGGGCGAAAGCCUGAUCCAGCAAUGCCGCGUGAGUGAUGAAGGCCUUAGGGUUGUAAAGCUCUUUUACCCGGGAUGAUAAUGACAGUACCGGGAGAAUAAGCUCCGGCUAACUCCGUG
rnacentral:rRNA from 1 species